rnacentral:rRNA from 1 species
UGUCGUCAGCUCGUGUUGUGAAAUGUUGGGUUAAGUCCCGCAACGAGCGCAACCCUUAUCCUUUGUUGCCAGCGGUUCGGCCGGGAACUCAAAGGAGACUGCCAGUGAUAAACUGGAGGAAGGUGGGGAUGACGUCAAGUCAUCAUGGCCCUUAGGUCGUUAGCU